UCGUAGGUGACCUGCGGAGGAUCAUUACCGAGUGAGGGCCCUCUGGGUCCAACCUCCCACCCGUGUCUAUCGUACCUUGUUGCUUCGGCGGGCCCGCCGUUUCGACGGCCGCCGGGGAGGCCUUGCGCCCCCGGGCCCGCGCCCGCCGAAGACCCCAACAUGAACGCUGUUCUGAAAGUAUGCAGUCUGAGUUGAUUAUCGUAAUCAGUUAAAACUUUCAACAACGGAUCUCUUGGUUCCGGCAUCGAUGAAGAACGCAGCGAAAUGCGAUAAGUAAUGUGAAUUGCAGAAUUCAGUGAAUCAUCGAGUCUUUGAACGCACAUUGCGCCCCCUGGUAUUCCGGGGGGCAUGCCUGUCCGAGCGUCAUUGCUGCCCUCAAGCACGGCUUGUGUGUUGGGCCCCCGUCCCCCUCUCCCGGGGGACGGGCCCGAAAGGCAGCGGCGGCACCGCGUCCGGUCCUCGAGCGUAUGGGGCUUUGUCACCUGCUCUGUAGGCCCGGCCGGCGCCAGCCGACACCCAACUUUAUUUUUCUAAGGUUGACCUCGGAUCAGGUAGGGAUACCCGCUGAACUUAAGCAUAUCAAUAAGCGGAGGAAAAGAAACCAACAGGGAUUGCCUCAGUAACGGCGAGUGAAGCGGCAAGAGCUCAAAUUUGAAAGCUGGCCCCUUCGGGGUCCGCGUUGUAAUUUGCAGAGGAUGCUUCGGGUGCAGCCCCCGUCUAAGUGCCCUGGAACGGGCCGUCAUAGAGGGUGAGAAUCCCGUCUGGGACGGGGUGUCUGCGUCCGUGUGAAGCUCCUUCGACGAGUCGAGUUGUUUGGGAAUGCAGCUCUAAAUGGGUGGUAAAUUUCAUCUAAAGCUAAAUACUGGCCGGAGACCGAUAGCGCACAAGUAGAGUGAUCGAAAGAUGAAAAGCACUUUGAAAAGAGAGUUAAACAGCACGUGAAAUUGUUGAAAGGGAAGCGUUUGCGACCAGACUCGCCCGCGGGGUUCAGCCGGCAUUCGUGCCGGUGUACUUCCCCGUGGGCGGGCCAGCGUCGGUUUGGGCGGCCGGUCAAAGGCCCUCGGAAUGUAUCACCUCUCGGGGUGUCUUAUAGCCGAGGGUGCAAUGCGGCCUGCCUGGACCGAGGAACGCGCUUCGGCUCGG
rnacentral:rRNA from 1 species